rnacentral:rRNA from 1 species
UACGAAGGGGGCUAGCGUUGCUCGGAAUCACUGGGCGUAAAGCGCACGUAGGCGGCUUCUUAAGUCAGGGGUGAAAUCCUGGAGCUCAACUCCAGAACUGCCUUUGAUACUGAGAAGCUUGAGUCCGGGAGAGGUGAGUGGAACUGCGAGUGUAGAGGUGAAAUUCGUAGAUAUUCGCAAAGAACACCAGUGGCGAAGGCGGCUCACUGGCCCGUAACUGACGCUGAGGCACGAAAGCGUGGGGAGCAAACAGG